AGAUUGAACGCUGGCGGCACGCCUUACACAUGCAAGUCGAACGGCAGCACGGGAGCAAUCCUGGUGGCGAGUGGCGAACGGGUGAGUAAUAUAUCGGAACGUGCCCAGUCGUGGGGGAUAACGCAGCGAAAGCUGUGCUAAUACCGCAUACGAUCUAUGGAUGAAAGCGGGGGAUCGCAAGACCUGCGCGAUUGGAGCGGCCGAUAUCAGAUUAGCUAGUUGGUGGGGUAAAAGCCUACCAAGGCGACGACCUGUAGCUGGUCUGAGAGGACGACCAGGCCACACUGGAACUGAGACACGGUCCAGACUCCUACGGGAGGCAGCCAGUGGGAAUUUUGGACAAGUGGGCGCAAGCCUAGAUCCAGGCAAGUGACCGCGUGCCAGGAUGAAGGCCUUCGGUUGUAAACUGCUUUUGUACGGAACGUAAACGGUUCUACUCUAAGUACGAGGGCUAAGUGAACGGUACCGUAAAGUAAGUAACGUACAACCGGUACUAACGUACGUACGACCAGACCG
rnacentral:rRNA from 1 species